GCCGUUGUAGCUUAGAAGGUAGAGCAUUUCCAUGGUAAGGAAAAGGUCCCAGGUUCAAAUCCUGGCAAUGGCU
rnacentral:tRNA from 2 species